rnacentral:rRNA from 1 species
UACGAAGGGGGCUAGCGUUGCUCGGAAUUACUGGGCGUAAAGGGCGCGUAGGCGGAUAGUUUAGCCAGAGGUGAAAGCCCAGGGCUCAACCUUGGAAUUGCCUUUGAUACUGGCUAUCUUGAGUUCGGGAGAGGUGAGUGGAAUGCCGAGUGUAGAGGUGAAAUUCGUAGAUAUUCGGCGGAACACCAGUGGCGAAGGCGACUCACUGGCCCGAUACUGACGCUGAGGCGCGAAAGCGUGGGGAGCAAACAGG